UUGACCUCGGAUCAGGUAGGGAUACCCGCUGAACUUAAGCAUAUCAAUAAGG
rnacentral:rRNA from 5 species